rnacentral:rRNA from 1 species
CNGAAUUACUGGGCGUAAAGCGUGCGCAGGCGGUUAUGUAAGACAGGUGUGAAAUCCCCGGGCUUAACCUGGGAAUGGCAUUUGUGACUGCAUGGCUAGAGUGUGUCAGAGGGGGGUAGAAUUCCACGUGUAGCAGUGAAAUGCGUAGAGAUGUGGAGGAAUACCGAUGGCGAAGGCAGCCCCCUGGGAUAACACUGACGCUCAUGCACGAAAGCGUGGGGAGCAAACAGGAUUAGAUACCCUGGUAGUCCACGCCCUAAACGAUGUCUACUAGUUGUCGGGUCUUAAUUGACUUGGUAACGCAGCUAACGCGUGAAGUAGACCGCCUGGGGAGUACGGUCGCAAGAUUAAAACUCAAAGGAAUUGACGAGA